rfam:Gossypium hirsutum cultivar TM-1 unplaced genomic scaffold scaffold413.1, whole genome shotgun sequence
AAUUAAAAAGUUCGUUCAUUUGUGUUAUUAAAAAUUGGCAUAACUGACAGAAUAAUCAAAUAGUGGCAUGUGUACCUCAUUGGCAUGCAAGAACUAAUUUUUAAUAGUAUAAAUGUAUGAGAUUUUUAAUA